rnacentral:tRNA from 1 species
GAGGGGAUAGCUCAGUGGUAGAGUGCUUGCCUGGAUACAUGGGGUCCUGGGUUCAAUCCCCGGUACCUCCA